rnacentral:rRNA from 1 species
CGCAACCCCUGUCCUUAGUUGCCAGCAUUCAGUUGGGCACUCUAGGGAGACAAACCCUCUUUGAGGGUGGGAAGGUGGGGACGACGUCAAGUCAGGAUGGCCCUUACGGUUUGGGCUGCACACGUGCUACAAUGCCCGGUACAGAGGGAAGCAAUACCGUGAGGUGGAGCAAAUCCUUAAAACCGGGCCCAGUUCGGAUUGUAGUCUGCAACUCGACUACAUGAAGUUGGAAUCGCUAGUAAUGGCGUAUCAGCUACGACGCCGUGAAUACGUUCCCGGGCCUUGUACACACCGCCCGUCACGUCAUGAAAGCCGGUUUU